GAUCCUGGCUCAGGAUGAACGCUAGCGACAGGCUUAACACAUGCAAGUCGAGGGGGCGAGCGGGGGUGGUAGCAAUACACCGCCGGCGACCGGCGCACGGGUGAGUAACGCGUAUGCAACUUGCCUAUCAGAGGGGGAGUAACCCGGCGAAAGUCGGACUAAUACCGCAUGAAGCAGGGAUCCCGCAUGGGAAUAUUUGCUAAAGAUUCAUCGCUGAUAGAUAGGCAUGCGUU
rnacentral:rRNA from 1 species